AAAGCAACGGACAAUAAAUUAUUUAUUCCACCAAUAAUGCUUACAAAACCAUAGUACAAGAAAAACAAAUUGAAAGGCCUUGAAAUCAAAUCUUGGAGGCAUGGAUGAUCAACUACUCUUGCACCCAUUAAGUCUUGGCAAGUGGGACCAUCUCAAGAACACUCCAAGUUGCAAACGGUUUACAACUGAAAAUCUGAAACACAGCUUAACUUACUACAAAUAUAACAACAAUAUUGACUGUGUGCAUAAGCCAAGAAUCAUAUAUAUGAAUAUGAUGCGCUAACACUCAGGUGUUUCGGUGUGAUCUCUCUUUGGAUCCGCACAAUAGUCAUAAGCCAAGUAAUUCUUCUGAACCCAUUCCAUGGCCGAGUACUGCUGCUGGCUGAGGCCACCGGAGACAGAUGGAGAGGCUGAGGGUGGCCGGCAGGUAGCAGGAGCAUUUGCAGUGCACCCACCAAUUUUGAAAUUUUGAUACCUACCAAUGAAUGGUUGGUAACUAUAAUCUGCUUUGUAUUUUCCAUCCUCAGUGGCCCACGAUGAUGCAUCCCAUAUUGAGCCAUAAACCCACAUUGGCCUCAGUGGAAAAGUUGCAGCACUUUUCCUAGGGUACCUCCUUAUGGGCACAUCAUCAACAAGGAAUCUGAAAUAAUACAAAUGAACUUACAUCAAGACACAAUAGGACAUUUCACCUACCAGCCUACCAUAAAUUAUUCCAGAUCUUUUUCUUGAAAUUGGAAUUGCUAUCUUCAUUGUCUCUUUGCUCAUUUCCCCGAUGGUGCAAAUGUUAAAAUAAAAAAAUAGUGUGAGAUCAGAAAAAUCACCAUUUGAUCACUUGAUUAGUACAAUUAGAUUUAGUUAAUCUACUUUUUAUGCUAAUAACUUUCAUAGAAACUCUAUCCCACUCAUGUGAUAUUAGAUUCUAUUAAGUUAUAAUACAACUUUGCCCUUAAUUUCAGAGAAGGAUUCAAAUACUCUCUGCUUUUAGUCCUUAAUUAAAUGGGUAAUUUAAUGGUCUUGUCAUUACAAUAUUUCACUUUCCAAAAAGAUAAAAAAUGACCAAGUUACUUAUUAUUUAAAUAUUCAUCUAAAGGUCAUAACCAAGAGUGCUAAGUGCCAAAGAGCUAAGCACCACAAAAAAAUUUCAGGCAUAGUAAAAUUAUUGAUUCCUAAUUCUCUGUUUCUUGCAGAAGUCACUUUAAAGUGGAGAAAUAAACAGUAAAUGUAACUGAAGAUGAUUAAACUUACAUGAUCUCCUUGGGACUCCAAAGAAUGGCAUAAUGGUGAAAAUGUUGGGUUGGAUCAAACCACAAAUGAAAUUUCAUCUCUCUCCCAAUGAUUCUCCCAUCCCCACUUCCUCUUAUGUAAACAUUGGUCUGCAAUGUAUAAGGCUUCCCAAAUGUUGUCCCAAGAAAUUCUAUGUCCACUUCAUCAUGGAAUCCAGGGUGAGCUUCAUUGUUUGAAAGCUGCCAUUAUCCAUAUUAAUUAGUCCAUUGAGAAGAAAUGCAUAUUAAUAAACAUGUCAUCAAGAAAGAGUAUAUAGUUUAGUUCAAUCCCCACAUAGAAAGCCGUUAUAACUCCUGCAGUGUAUCCAGGUUGGACCUUAAUGGAGGCACCAAAGUACCCAGAUCGAAAUGGUUUAACAGAUUUGAAUCCACUUCCUGGAAUAAUAAAGUUACAAAAAGAAUGACAGAAAGAACCAAUCAAUAAAUAGAAAAAAAGAAAAAAAGAUUACUUACCGACCAAUAAUUAAGAUACUAAGUAUACAUUAAUAAAAGGUACUGAAUAUAAGACCUGAGGUAUUAUCUAGCCAGAUUGUUAAUGCAUUUUGGUCUACUCUUUGAUGUGUGUAACCCCAGAGGUUUCUAUACCCUUGAUAAAAGCUCAUUGAUCUGAACCUAGAACUUGGCCAAUAGCCAGGAGAAGGUGGCCAUUGAGCAUAGCUUGAUGAAGGGAGCAUAACAGUGAGAAGUAGCAAGAGGAGGAGAGCCAUAGGAGCAGUAGCAAGAUAUGGAGAAGCUGUAUGGGAGAGAACGGAAUGAUUAUGCGUAUAAAUGCAGGGGGAGAGAGAGAAAGAAGAAAGAGAGCAAUGUUUCAUG
rnacentral:misc_RNA from 1 species